GAUGAACGCUGGCGGCGUGCCUAAUACAUGCAAGUCGAGCGAACAGACGAGGAGCUUGCUCCUCUGACGUUAGCGGCGGACGGGUGAGUAACACGUGGAUAACCUACCUAUAAGACUGGGAUACCUUCGGGAAACCGGAGCUAAUACCGGAUAAUAUAUUAAACCGCAUGUUUCAUUAUUGAAAGACGGUUUUGCUUUCCUUUUUAGAUGAAUCCGCGCCGCAUUAGCUAGUUGGUAAGGUAACGGUUUACCAAGGCAACGAUCCGUAGCCGACCUGAGAGGGUGAUCGGCCACACUGGAACUGAGACACGGUCCAGACUCCUACGGGAGGCAGCAGAAGGGAAUCUUCCGCAAUGGGCGAAAGCCUGACGGAGCAACGCCGCGUGAGUGAUGAAGGUCUUCGGAUCGUAAAACUCUGUUAUUAGGGAAGAACAAAUGUGUAAGUAACUAUGCACGUCUUGACGGUACCUAAUCAGAAAGCCACGGCUAACUACGUG
rnacentral:rRNA from 1 species